UUCACGGCCAUGUUCAGGAGGAAGGCGUUCUUGCACUGGUACACGGGCGAGGGCAUGGACGAGAUGGAGUUCACCGAGGCGGAGAGCAACAUGAACGACCUCGUCUCCGAGUACCAGCAGUAUCAGGACGCCACCGCCGACGAGGCCGAGUACGAGGAAGAAGAGGACGCGAUACAGGAGUAGAGACUGUCUGGGCAAUGGUACCUCGUAUCCCCUGCCCAUCGUUACCCUAAUAUGUUUG
rnacentral:lncRNA from 1 species